CGGGGCAGCAAUGCCCAGUGGCGCACGGGUGCGUAACGCGUAUGCAACCUGCCUCUCACAGGGGGAUAGCCCACCGAAAGGUGGAUUAAUACCGCAUAAGAUAGUAGUGGGACAUCCCACAGCUAUUAAAGAUUUAUCGGUGAGAGAUGGGCAUGCGUGCCAUUAGCUAGUUGGUAGUGUAACGGACUACCAAGGCGACGAUGGCUAGGGGUUCUGAGAGGAAGAUCCCCCACACUGGUACUGAGAUACGGACCAGACUCCUACGGGAGGCAGCAGUAGGGAAUAUUGGGCAAUGGGCGCAAGCCUGACCCAGCCAUGCCGCGUGCAGGAAGAAGGCCUUCUGGGUUGUAAACUGCUUUUGACAGGGAAGAAAAGCAAGUACGUGUACUUGAAUCGACGGUACCUGUAGAAUAAGCACCGGCUAACUCCGUGCCAGCAGCCGCGGUAAUACGGAGGGUGCAAGCGUUGUCCGGAUUUAUUGGGUUUAAAGGGUGCGUAGGCGGCC
rnacentral:rRNA from 1 species